GACGAACCGUGCAAACGUUGUUCGGAAUCACUGGGCUUAAAGGGCGCGUAGGCGGGCAGUCAAGUCAGGGGUGAAAUCUUUCGGCUCAACCGGAAAAGUGCCUUUGAAACUGACUGUCUCGAGGGAGGUAGGGGCGUGCGGAACUUCCGGUGGAGCGGUGAAAUGCGUAGAUAUCGGAAGGAACGCCGGUGGCGAAAGCGGCGCGCUGGACCUCUUCUGACGCUGAGGAGCGAAAGCCAGGGGAGCAAACGGG
rnacentral:rRNA from 1 species